ACUCCAGCCCAAUGCAUGGGUGUGAACCAUCUGGGUCACAAUCACUGAUGGGGAAGAAGUAGCUAUUUUGCUGUCAAGCCAGGUAUUCCUUGUGCAGGGGACAGAUGGCCUUGCAAGGGCCAAACAUGGGUUGAGCAGAGGCAGAGGCAGGCAGAGCUGACAUAGCCUGUGCCUGUUUCAGAGACUGUGAAGGCAGAACUAUUCUGCUGAGCCUCUCUUUCUCUUCUUGGGGCUAUCUGUAAGCAGCUGGCUGACUCUAACAUCCAGGCUUGUGAGAAUCAGCUCUGUUCCUCUCUCUGUCGUGUGUGGGCCAGCUGCAUCCCCACUGGUCCUCAUUUCCCCUGCACUGAGCUCAUUCACUCCCUGGGGAUUAAUUUGACUGUGAAUACUGUGGACUCUGAAGUGUGGGAAAACUGGAGACACAAACAACAGAAGCCUUAAUGCUACAGGGGCAGAGAGUAGCAUCUUUUCCUCGGUUAGCAUCAUGUGAGACCUGGCAAGCCAUAAUCAGAGACACUUCUAUGCAGUGACUCAGGGAGGCAGCCUGCUGCUGAGCAAAGAGGAGGCAGGUCUGCGAGCUGGAGUUCAGAGAAACUUAGGAUCAUAUGAGAACAAUUGGUCUAGAGCUCUUAGAAUCAAAGAGGUAAUAUUGAAGAGUGAAAGAUCAAGAGAGAAUGAUUCCUUGGAAGCGGCAGUUGACAAAGCAAAUUACAGAAUAUACUCAGUGAGAAUCAGAUGAAACACGGGAGAUAAAAGGCUCCGGACCAAGAGGUCCCAGAGAAGCAUUCAGAGGAGAAAGGCUGCAACCAGGAAGUCCACAUACUCACAGCUGCUUCCAGGCCCCGGUGCUCACCCAGUAACAAAGCCACUUCUGUCUGGAAAAACCACAGCAAGGGGUCCUGAGCCAUCUUUCUGCCUUUUUGCUAUUCCGCCCUGAGCAUGCUAUGGGCCAGUGUCCUGGGUUCUCAGCUCACCCUCUCUCCAUCAAGAUGUUUCUAUCCGGGUUCUACCUCCUCAAACCUUGCCAUCCAGAUUAAUAGUGGCCUUUGGAGCUUCAACUCAGAGGAAUUAUUUAUCCGGGAAAGUUGGGCAGUCGGUGUCCAGAGAUUAGGGACUUUUGGGUUGGACAAUCCCUGGUUCCCAUGAAAUUGCUCCAUGAAAGAACCUUCUGAGCAUAAUUGAGCCAGCCUCAAUGUCCCCAGUUAAAGCUUUUUGGUAUUGAUCCAACCCCACGUUGAUCUCAUCUCCCUCCACACUGAAAGAAUCCAAUCUAUUCUGCACUAUUUUGUGCUUGUUUAGGGAAUCUGUUUGUGAGAUGCCCAGUCAGAGUUCAAGGUUCAAUCUGGCCGUGUAACUGAAUUCCCUGAAAACAGCCUGUCCAUGGAGGAAUGUAAUCAGUGAUCUUGGACUAGUUAUCAUUAAUUUCAAUCAACUUAGGAAAACUGUAAGUGAAGGAGAACCAGAAAUCAUAUCUUAGAUUAUAUUAGUCACUAUUGAUAUGGUCACCUGUGCCUGAAAACAAAUUGACUCAUGGUGCCAAGCAAGGCCUUUAUGAGAUAAGACAACAGCUGGAUUCACUGUCUCAGUUCCUGAAAGAGAACAGAGACCAACUAGGAUCAGUACAUUCCCGAGCCUGGCUAAAGAGAGAUUGUCACGUGCUAUAAUUCAGGGGAAAAAUUAAUCUGGAAGUUUCUAUCUCCCUUAGCUACCU
rnacentral:lncRNA from 10 species